AUUAUUGUACCACCUACCUAACCCUCCCAGCACACAAUAAGUGUUUCAUAAAAAAGUUCAAUGAUGAACAUGUCUGAUUAAGGCAGAGAACAAAGGUACUUUUAUUUCCCUGUUCCUGGAAGCUAUACCUGUCAAUGCAAACCAAAAUUACAUUAGCCUUUUUGGCUGCCAUAUAACACUAAUGAAGCCUCAUUGAUGAGAUGAAGAAAUUGAGGUCUGGAGAGUCCACACAGAUUAUAAUAGAAUUUCCAUUCAAAUGCAGCUCUUCCAACUGUAACUGGAAUGCUACUCCAUUAGGCUUUGGGAUGCCUUAUGGGACAGGAGGGCCAGGGAAGGAGGGAAAAGCCAGAAGGAGAUGACUUGGCCACAUUUCCAUAGCUAGGAAAUAAUUUCUUUCGACCUCAGUUGUCUCAUUUAAAAUGACAAGAAUUGGACUAUAUCAUCCCUAAGUUCCCUUCCAAGUCAAGAUUUCUGUGAAAUGAGGCAAGUCAUUGAGGAUGACGACAUUUGGAAGUCAAAUUUAGAGCAUUCCUUUCGCCUGACAUAAUCUGUAUGCAAAGAACUCACUUCAGCAGAAGGCUGAGUAAAAUUGCAUUUUCUGCCUUUGUUUGGAUGGUUGAUUACAAGAGAACAUCAGCACUGGUGAAAAGAAGAGAGGUCCUGUCGGAGAGCUACUGAACCAUCUGAGAGAAGACAAGGAGUAAAUGAAAUGCAGUGAAAUGCAGAGGUGGGGGGAAUCCACUCCAGUCCUGCUCUCCAGGCUCAGAUUGUUAGAGUUAGAAGGGGCCUGGGAGAACAAGCAACAUCUUCAUUUUGAAGAUGAAGAACAGUCUCAAACAGAUAAGUGGCUUUUCAAAUUUUCACCAUAA
rnacentral:lncRNA from 1 species